GGGUUGUGAGGUUAAGCGACUAAGCGUACACGGUGGAUGCCCUGGCAGUCAGAGGCGAUGAAGGACGUGCUAAUCUGCGAUAAGCGUCGGUAAGGUGAUAUGAACCGUUAUAACCGGCGAUUUCCGAAUGGGGAAACCCAGUGUGUUUCGACACACUAUCAUUAACUGAAUCCAUAGGUUAAUGAGGCGAACCGGGGGAACUGAAACAUCUAAGUACCCCGAGGAAAAGAAAUCAACCGAGAUUCCCCCAGUAGCGGCGAGCGAACGGGGAGCAGCCCAGAGCCUGAAUCAGUGUGUGUGUUAGUGGAAGCGUCUGGAAAGGCGCGCGAUACAGGGUGACAGCCCCGUACACAAAAAUGCACAUGCUGUGAGCUCGAUGAGUAGGGCGGGACACGUGGUAUCCUGUCUGAAUAUGGGGGGACCAUCCUCCAAGGCUAAAUACUCCUGACUGACCGAUAGUGAACCAGUACCGUGAGGGAAAGGCGAAAAGAACCCCGGCGAGGGGAGUGAAAAAGAACCUGAAACCGUGUACGUACAAGCAGUGGGAGCACGCUUAGGCGUGUGACUGCGUACCUUUUGUAUAAUGGGUCAGCGACUUAUAUUCUGUAGCAAGGUUAACCGAAUAGGGGAGCCGAAGGGAAACCGAGUCUUAACUGGGCGUUAAGUUGCAGGGUAUAGACCCGAAACCCGGUGAUCUAGCCAUGGGCAGGUUGAAGGUUGGGUAACACUAACUGGAGGACCGAACCGACUAAUGUUGAAAAAUUAGCGGAUGACUUGUGGCUGGGGGUGAAAGGCCAAUCAAACCGGGAGAUAGCUGGUUCUCCCCGAAAGCUAUUUAGGUAGCGCCUCGUGAAUUCAUCUCCGGGGGUAGAGCACUGUUUCGGCAAGGGGGUCAUCCCGACUUACCAACCCGAUGCAAACUGCGAAUACCGGAGAAUGUUAUCACGGGAGACACACGGCGGGUGCUAACGUCCGUCGUGAAGAGGGAAACAACCCAGACCGCCAGCUAAGGUCCCAAAGUCAUGGUUAAGUGGGAAACGAUGUGGGAAGGCCCAGACAGCCAGGAUGUUGGCUUAGAAGCAGCCAUCAUUUAAAGAAAGCGUAAUAGCUCACUGGUCGAGUCGGCCUGCGCGGAAGAUGUAACGGGGCUAAACCAUGCACCGAAGCUGCGGCAGCGACGCUUAUGCGUUGUUGGGUAGGGGAGCGUUCUGUAAGCCUGCGAAGGUGUGCUGUGAGGCAUGCUGGAGGUAUCAGAAGUGCGAAUGCUGACAUAAGUAACGAUAAAGCGGGUGAAAAGCCCGCUCGCCGGAAGACCAAGGGUUCCUGUCCAACGUUAAUCGGGGCAGGGUGAGUCGACCCCUAAGGCGAGGCCGAAAGGCGUAGUCGAUGGGAAACAGGUUAAUAUUCCUGUACUUGGUGUUACUGCGAAGGGGGGACGGAGAAGGCUAUGUUGGCCGGGCGACGGUUGUCCCGGUUUAAGCGUGUAGGCUGGUUUUCCAGGCAAAUCCGGAAAAUCAAGGCUGAGGCGUGAUGACGAGGCACUACGGUGCUGAAGCAACAAAUGCCCUGCUUCCAGGAAAAGCCUCUAAGCAUCAGGUAACAUCAAAUCGUACCCCAAACCGACACAGGUGGUCAGGUAGAGAAUACCAAGGCGCUUGAGAGAACUCGGGUGAAGGAACUAGGCAAAAUGGUGCCGUAACUUCGGGAGAAGGCACGCUGAUAUGUAGGUGAAGUCCCUCGCGGAUGGAGCUGAAAUCAGUCGAAGAUACCAGCUGGCUGCAACUGUUUAUUAAAAACACAGCACUGUGCAAACACGAAAGUGGACGUAUACGGUGUGACGCCUGCCCGGUGCCGGAAGGUUAAUUGAUGGGGUCAGCGCAAGCGAAGCUCUUGAUCGAAGCCCCGGUAAACGGCGGCCGUAACUAUAACGGUCCUAAGGUAGCGAAAUUCCUUGUCGGGUAAGUUCCGACCUGCACGAAUGGCGUAAUGAUGGCCAGGCUGUCUCCACCCGAGACUCAGUGAAAUUGAACUCGCUGUGAAGAUGCAGUGUACCCGCGGCAAGACGGAAAGACCCCGUGAACCUUUACUAUAGCUUGACACUGAACAUUGAGCCUUGAUGUGUAGGAUAGGUGGGAGGCUUUGAAGUGUGGACGCCAGUCUGCAUGGAGCCGACCUUGAAAUACCACCCUUUAAUGUUUGAUGUUCUAACGUUGACCCGUAAUCCGGGUUGCGGACAGUGUCUGGUGGGUAGUUUGACUGGGGCGGUCUCCUCCUAAAGAGUAACGGAGGAGCACGAAGGUUGGCUAAUCCUGGUCGGACAUCAGGAGGUUAGUGCAAUGGCAUAAGCCAGCUUGACUGCGAGCGUGACGGCGCGAGCAGGUGCGAAAGCAGGUCAUAGUGAUCCGGUGGUUCUGAAUGGAAGGGCCAUCGCUCAACGGAUAAAAGGUACUCCGGGGAUAACAGGCUGAUACCGCCCAAGAGUUCAUAUCGACGGCGGUGUUUGGCACCUCGAUGUCGGCUCAUCACAUCCUGGGGCUGAAGUAGGUCCCAAGGGUAUGGCUGUUCGCCAUUUAAAGUGGUACGCGAGCUGGGUUUAGAACGUCGUGAGACAGUUCGGUCCCUAUCUGCCGUGGGCGCUGGAGAAUUGAGGGGGGCUGCUCCUAGUACGAGAGGACCGGAGUGGACGCAUCACUGGUGUUCGGGUUGUCAUGCCAAUGGCACUGCCCGGUAGCUAAAUGCGGAAGAGAUAAGUGCUGAAAGCAUCUAAGCACGAAACUUGCCCCGAGAUGAGUUCUCCCUGACUCCUUGAGAGUCCUGAAGGAACGUUGAAGACGACGACGUUGAUAGGCCGGAUGUGUAAGCGCAGCGAUGCGUUGAGCUAACCGGUACUAAUGAACCGUGAGGCUUAACCUUACAACGCCGAAGCUGUU
rnacentral:rRNA from 1 species